UUUUUUUUAGUAAAUUUACAUAUUUCUAUUUGUACUUCAAUCAAAAUAUAUGUUCAUAUUUUCUGGCAAAGCUAAAAUGAUAUCAAAACUUACAUACCAAUCUGUAUUCGGAAAAUUCUAAAAUUUUAGAACUUUUAGCCCUGAGAUACACAUUUUCGGCCACAUUUUUACUAAAAUCACUUGAAUAAAAUUAGAUAUAUCUGUUUGAACUUCAAUAAACAUAUGGAGUUCAUAUUUGCUACCGAAGAUGAAUAGUUAUCUAUAUUCGGAUACCAAACUGUAUUUGGAAAAUUCUACUGCCUCUCAUCCAAAACAAGUAUCGCAGCUUUAAAUUAAGGUUAGUUAAACCUUAGCUCAAAGAUGCGACACUUAUUAUGGGUCGGAGGGAGUACAGUUUUUGAUGGAAAAAGACUGAAAUUGUUGGGGUUCAUUCCUACGUCUUGCUUGGAGCAACAAACUGGAAUGGAAUACUUUCCCAGUCUUGCAUAUAUCAAAAGUGCUGAAUAACAUGCGCACGCAAGUAGAGCUGAUCAGCUGAGUAUACAAUCCAUAUAUCAAAAUUACACAUGGUACAAAGUACAGCAUACUCGGGGAGUGGAGGAACAACCAAACUCGGGCCGGCCAUGCACAGCUGCUUGACGUACGUACUCCUCUCUCUCUCACGCAGUGAGAUAAUAUGAGAGCAUUUAUUCAUAUAUAUAUGUGUGUGUGCGUGUGUGUGACCUCAACAUACUAAGCGUAGAUCCAGCAAC
rnacentral:lncRNA from 1 species